GCCGGGCAUGGUGGCACAUGUCUGUAGUCUCAGCUACUCGGGAGGCUGAUGUGGGAGGAUCUCUUGAGCCCAGAAGUUCUGGACUGUAGUGCACUAUGCCGACUGGGUCUGCACGAAGUUUGGCAUCAAUAUGGUGACCUCCCAGGCGCGGGGGACCACCAGGUUGCCUAAGGAGGGGUGAACUGGCCCAGGAUGGAAACGGAGCAGGUCAAAACUCCUGUGCUGAUCAGUAGUGGGAUUGUGCCUGUGAAUAGCCACUGCCCUCCAGCCUCAGCAACAUAGCGAGACCCUGUCUCUA
ensembl:misc_RNA Metazoa_SRP Metazoan signal recognition particle RNA